CCUCGGGCCGGGAUGUUCACAACCCUUUGUUGUCCGACUCUGUUGCCUCCGGGGCGACCCUGCCUCCGGGCGGGGGCCCCGGGUGGACAUUUCAAACUCUUGCGUAACUUUGCAGUCUGAGUAAAUUUAAUUAAUAAAUUAAAACUUUCAACAACGGAUCUCUUGGUUCUGGCAUCGAUGAAGAACGCAGCGAAAUGCGAUAAGUAAUGUGAAUUGCAUAAUUCAGUGAAUCAUCGAAUCUUUGAACGCACAUUGCGCCCCCUGGUAUUCCGGGGGGCAUGCCUGUUCGAGCGUCAUUUCACCACUCAAGCCUCGCUUGGUAUUGGGCGACGCGGUCCGCCGCGCGCCUCACAUCGACCGGCUGGGUCUUUCGUCCCCUCAGCGUUGUGGAAACUAUUCGCUAAAGGGUGCCGCGGGAGGCCACGCCGUAAAACAACCCCAUUUCUAAGGUUGACCUCGGAUCAAGUAGGGAUACCCGCUGAACUUAAGCAUAUCAAUAAGCGGG
rnacentral:rRNA from 1 species